rnacentral:rRNA from 1 species
UAAGCGACUAAGCGUACACGGUGGAUGCCCUGGCAGUCAGAGGCGAUGAAGGACGUGCUAAUCUGCGAUAAGCGUCGGUGAGGUGAUAUGAACCGUUAUAACCGGCGAUUUCCGAAUGGGGAAACCCAGUGUGAUUCGUCACACUAUCAUUAACUGAAUCCAUAGGUUAAUGAGGCGAACCGGGGGAACUGAAACAUCUAAGUACCCCGAGGAAAAGAAAUCAACCGAGAUUCCCCCAGUAGCGGCGAGCGAACGGGAGGAGCCAGAGCCUGAAUCAGUGUGUGUAUUAGUGGAAGCGUCUGGAAAGGCGUGCGAUACAGGGUGACAGCCCCGUACACAAAAAUGCACAUAUUGUGAGCUCGAUGAGUAGGGCGGGACACGUGGUAUCCUGUCUGAAUAUGGGGGGACCAUCCUCCAAGGCUAAAUACUCCUGACUGACCGAUAGUGAACCAGUACCGUGAGGGAAAGGCGAAAAGAACCCCGGCGAGGGGAGUGAAAAAGAACCUGAAACCGUGUACGUACAAGCAGUGGGAGCCUCUUAAUGGGGUGACUGCGUACCUUUUGUAUAAUGGGUCAGCGACUUAUAUUCUGUAGCAAGGUUAACCGAAUAGGGGAGCCGAAGGGAAACCGAGUCUUAACUGGGCGUUAAGUUGCAGGGUAUAGACCCGAAACCCGGUGAUCUAGCCAUGGGCAGGUUGAAGGUUGGGUAACACUAACUGGAGGACCGAACCGACUAAUGUUAGAAAAAUUAGCGGAUGACUUGUGCUGGGGGUGAAAGGCCAAUCAAACCGGGAGAUAGCUGGUUCUCCCCGAAAGCUUAUUUAGGUAGCGCCUCGUGAAUUCAUCGUCCGGGGGUAGAGCACUGUUUCGGCAAGGGGGUCAUCCCGACUUACCAACCCGAUGCAAACUGCGAAUACCGGAGAAUGUUAUCACGGGAGACACACGGCGGGUGCUAACGUCCGUCGUGAAGAGGGAAACAACCCAGACCGCCAGCUAAGGUCCCAAAGUCAUGGUUAAGUGGGAAACGAUGUGGGAAGGCCCAGACAGCCAGGAUGUUGGCUUAGAAGCAGCCAUCAUUUAAAGAAAGCGUAAUAGCUCACUGGUCGAGUCGGCCUGCGCGGAAGAUGUAACGGGGCUAAACCAUGCACCGAAGCUGCGGCAGCGACACUAUGUGUUGUUGGGUAGGGGAGCGUUCUGUAAGCCUGUGAAGGUGGCCUGUGAGAGUUGCUGGAGGUAUCAGAAGUGCGAAUGCUGACAUAAGUAACGAUAAAGCGGGUGAAAAGCCCGCUCGCCGGAAGACCAAGGGUUCCUGUCCAACGUUAAUCGGGGCAGGGUGAGUCGACCCCUAAGGCGAGGCCGAAAGGCGUAGUCGAUGGGAAACAGGUUAAUAUUCCUGUACUUGGUGUUACUGCGAAGGGGGGACGGAGAAGGCUAUGUUGGCCGGGCGACGGACGUCCCGGUUUAAGCGUGUAGGCUGGUUUUCUAGGCAAAUCCGGAAAACCAAGGCUGAGGCGUGAUGACGAGGCACUACGGUGCUGAAGUGACAAAUGCCCUGCUUCCAGGAAAAGCCUCUAAGCAUCAGGUAACAUCAAAUCGUACCCCAAACCGACACAGGUGGUCAGGUAGAGAAUACCAAGGCGCUUGAGAGAACUCGGGUGAAGGAACUAGGCAAAAUGGUGCCGUAACUUCGGGAGAAGGCACGCUGAUAUGUAGGUGAAGCGACUUGCUCGUGGAGCUGAAAUCAGUCGAAGAUACCAGCUGGCUGCAACUGUUUAUUAAAAACACAGCACUGUGCAAACACGAAAGUGGACGUAUACGGUGUGACGCCUGCCCGGUGCCGGAAGGUUAAUUGAUGGGGUUAGCGGCAACGCGAAGCUCUUGAUCGAAGCCCCGGUAAACGGCGGCCGUAACUAUAACGGUCCUAAGGUAGCGAAAUUCCUUGUCGGGUAAGUUCCGACCUGCACGAAUGGCGUAAUGAUGGCCAGGCUGUCUCCACCCGAGACUCAGUGAAAUUGAACUCGCUGUGAAGAUGCAGUGUACCCGCGGCAAGACGGAAAGACCCCGUGAACCUUUACUAUAGCUUGACACUGAACAUUGAGCCUUGAUGUGUAGGAUAGGUGGGAGGCUUUGAAGUGUGGACGCCAGUCUGCAUGGAGCCGACCUUGAAAUACCACCCUUUAAUGUUUGAUGUUCUAACGUUGGCCCGUAAUCCGGGUUGCGGACAGUGUCUGGUGGGUAGUUUGACUGGGGCGGUCUCCUCCUAAAGAGUAACGGAGGAGCACGAAGGUUGGCUAAUCCUGGUCGGACAUCAGGAGGUUAGUGCAAUGGCAUAAGCCAGCUUGACUGCGAGCGUGACGGCGCGAGCAGGUGCGAAAGCAGGUCAUAGUGAUCCGGUGGUUCUGAAUGGAAGGGCCAUCGCUCAACGGAUAAAAGGUACUCCGGGGAUAACAGGCUGAUACCGCCCAAGAGUUCAUAUCGACGGCGGUGUUUGGCACCUCGAUGUCGGCUCAUCACAUCCUGGGGCUGAAGUAGGUCCCAAGGGUAUGGCUGUUCGCCAUUUAAAGUGGUACGCGAGCUGGGUUUAGAACGUCGUGAGACAGUUCGGUCCCUAUCUGCCGUGGGCGCUGGAGAACUGAGGGGGGCUGCUCCUAGUACGAGAGGACCGGAGUGGACGCAUCACUGGUGUUCGGGUUGUCAUGCCAAUGGCACUGCCCGGUAGCUAAAUGCGGAAGAGAUAAGUGCUGAAAGCAUCUAAGCACGAAACUUGCCCCGAGAUGAGUUCUCCCUGACCCUUUAAGGGUCCUGAAGGAACGUUGAAGACGACGACGUUGAUAGGCCGGGUGUGUAAGCGCAGCGAUGCGUUGAGCUAACCGGUACUAAUGAACCGUGAGGCUUAACCU